rnacentral:rRNA from 1 species
UACGUAGGGUGCGAGCGUUAAUCGGAUUUACUGGGCGUAAAGCGUGCGCAGGCGGCCCGUUAAGACAGGUGUGAAAUCCCUGGGCUCAACCUAGGAAUUGCGCUUGUGACUGGCGGGCUCGAGUACGGUAGAGGGGGGUGGAAUUCCUGGUGUAGCAGUGAAAUGCGUAGAGAUCAGGAGGAACACCGAUGGCGAAGGCAGCCCCCUGGGCCUGUACUGACGCUGAGGAGCGAAAGCAUGGGGAGCGAACAGG